GAUGAACGCUGGCGGCGUGCCUAAUACAUGCAAGUCGAGCGAACAGACGAGGAGCUUGCUCCUCUGACGUUAGCGGCGGACGGGUGAGUAACACGUGGAUAACCUACCUAUAAGACUGGGAUAACUUCGGGAAACCGGAGCUAAUACCGGAUAAUAUAUUGAACCGCAUGGUUCAAUAGUGAAAGACGGUUUUGCUGUCACUUAUAGAUGGAUCCGCGCCGCAUUAGCUAGUUGGUAAGGUAACGGCUUACCAAGGCGACGAUGCGUAGCCGACCUGAGAGGGGGAUCGGCCACACUGGAACUGGAACACGGUCCAGACUCCUACGGGAGGCAGCAGUAGGGAAUCUUCCGCAAUGGGCGAAAGCCUGACGGAGCAACGCCGCGUGAGAGAUGAAGGUCUUCGGAUCGUAAAACUCUGUUAUUAGGGAAGAACAAAUUUGUAAGUAACUAUGCACGUCUUGACGGUACCUAAUCAGAAAGCCACGGCUAACUACGCG
rnacentral:rRNA from 1 species